GUAGGUGAACCUGCGGAAGGAUCAUCGUAUCCAACGUUAAACAACCCCGUGAACCUUCAGCCUGCUCUCGUAGCCCACGCGGCAACAGCAAUCCCGGUAAAUCAUUGACGAACAGUUUUGAUUCGGGACCUCUGUUACGAUGUGAGAAGUUACAGUUACGAUCGAGCGGUAGAGUCAGUGGCAUGGCGUCCCCAAGCAGAAUCCAGAGAAUGAAAGGAUCACUGGCUGCGCAAGGAUAACGCCUCACGGU
rnacentral:misc_RNA from 1 species